CUGACGAGACGCUGAUUAGAUUUAUCAGAUUUAGUUGAUUUCGUAAAAAUGUGUGGGCCUGUGCGCUGGUUGUGUGAGAUAAUGCUAUAUUAUUUGAAUCCUCAAUGCAAGCCCUGGCGAAACAUCUCUUCAACAAGUAGCCUAGCCUACGGUGUUGCUCCAUAAAAGAACAGCGCUGUGUAGAUAAAUGUGUUGAUCCAUCAAGAAGGGAAGGGUAGCCUACAUUUUUUUCCCCGGAGAAAGGACAAAUCGGGAUAAGGAGGCUAUUUUUCAGAAGGGACAUCGUCAGGACAGUCAAAUGUAAUUUCGGGGGAAGCAACUUCAGUCCCUACCAUUUCUUACUUUGCUCAAACAAAGUCUUUCUGGAUAACAUCUCAAAGGAAUAUCAUACUCUCAAGUGUUCAAAGAGACUGUUGGGAUAUUUUUUGAUAGCUUUUGAGGCUUCUCAGCCCUAGGAUCUGUACUAUCGUGCUACAUUACACCCGAGGACAUGUCUGCUGUGCGGCUGCUGCUCCUGUCUCUGCUUUGUGCCCUCUUUGUAUCCCUGUGCCAUGGGGCCUGUGCAGAGGUGGACUCGGACACUGAGGCCGUUGCAGGCAAAGGGUUCAAACUGGGCUGUAUCUCCUGUAAGAUGAGGCCCGAGGUGGAGGCUUCUGCCACGGUCGACUGGUAUUUCAAGGCCAAAGGGGAAGCUGACUUUGCUCAUAUAUAUAAUUACGAUGAGGAGGGCCAGCACAUUGUGGAUGAGCGCUUUGAGGACCGCGUGGACUGGAGCGGCAGUAAGCAGAGCAAUGACAUACAGGAUGCGUCCAUCUACCUCUUCAAUGUCACCUUCAAUGACUCGGGCACCUACCGUUGCUUCUUCCACCGGCUCCUGACGUACGAGUUCUACGAAUACCAGACCGUUGUCAGCAAGCUUGUGCACCUGACAGUGGUGGCUAAAGCCACCAGAGGGACUGCCUCCAUAGUCUCUGAGGUGAUGAUGUACGUGUCCAUCAUCGGGCUACAGGCUUGGCUCUACAUAGAGAUGGUAUACUGCUACAGAAAGAUCUCUGCUGCAGGAGAGGAAGCAUUACGAGAAAGCGCGAAUGCAGAAUAUUUAGCUAUUGCCUCGGAGAGUAAAGAUAACUGUGGUGUGCAAGUGGCAGAAUAACCCAGAGGCUGAGCCAGGAAGUUGGAUGUAGGGGAGAUCGGGGAACAAAGUAACACAGGAAUUCAAGCAGUGCCAUCUACAUACUGGCCUCAUCACUGAUACGACCCCUUGUUUUGCAUGAACCGGAAGAUGUAUAGUAUCUUUGAAUCUUUAUUACCUUUCCUGUUACAAUGUUAAUGGAUAAAUGUGAUAUGAUGACAUGAUUACUUUUAGAGUAGUAUGUGUAUGAAUCCUAUUUUUCAGUUGUAAUGGUAUCUCCCUUUAAAGUGUAUGUACAUUUAUAUUAAUAAGAGGUAUUGUGAGCAUAAGGACACAAGGCGAAAUGCAGGCACAGGAAGCAGAUGGUUGAGCUCCAAUAUUUAUUAAUCCAAGGGGUAGGCAAAAUGUAGGUCAGGGACAGGCGAGAGUUCACGAACUGUGUCAGAGUCCAAAACAGUACCAGGCAAAGGACAGUCUUGAGGUCAGGUCAGACAGGGUGUUCAGUAACCAGAUUGGAGUCCAAACAGUAUAAGGGGAUAGGCAGGCUUAAAGACAGAACAGGCAGAGUGGUCAGGCAGGCAGGUUCAGAGUCCAAACAGGCAAGGGUCAAAACCAGGAGGACUAGAACCAAAAGAGACUGGGAAAAAAUAGGAGCAAGAAAAACCGCUGGUUGACUUGGCAAACAAGGCAAACUGGCACAGAGAGACAGGAAACGCGGAUAUAUACACCGGGGAUAAUAAGCAACACCUGGAGGGGGUGGAGACGAUCACAAGGACAAGUGAAACAGAUCACGGUGUGACAGUGAGAGAAUUAUUUUGAUUGAAGUGUUAUCGCGAGAUCACCUUGGAAUUAGAAUACUAGAAUGGACAUGAACUUUCUUAUGAUAGAGUAAAAGGUCAGCCAUUUUGGUAAAGGAGUUGGGUCAACCACAAUGGUCAGCGAGUGCUGUGAGAAGAUGUUAUUUAAAACAAUGAAUUUAAAACAAUGACUUUGAAAAUGAUAUGCACAGUAAUGUUUAUUAGCUAGCUAGUCUGCCAGUUUAAUUAGAAUGAUUCCAUCAUUUUUUCCUAAAUGACUGCCAAUAUGUCUGACAUUCCAAACAAACAAUGUAGUCAAUACACAGGCUGAAAUCAGUUGGUGAUAUGACUUAGACAAAAUGUAAAUGCAACAAGUAACUGAUAUUGUAUUAUAUUAUAAGAUUCAAAACUUUCCAAGAAAACAAACAUUGAAAACAUUUUUGAGGCAAUUUAUACAGAACAUUUCUAUAAAACCUGUAUUUACAGGUCAAAAGUUUGGAAACCUUCUCAUUCCAGAGUUGUUCUUUAAUGUUACUAUUUUCUAACACAUGGAAUAAUGUAGUAACCCAAAAAUUAAAAUAUGUUUUACAUUUUAGAUUAUUCAAAUUAG